ACCGAAUACGAUCUUUUUCGUCGCAUGACGGAAAGAAGAAAAGGAUGGCCUCUAUACAAAGCUAUCGCCGAAGGAGGGGUUUGCGUCUGAUUAGCUGGUUGGAGGGUAACGGCCCAACAAGGCGAUGAUCAGUAGCCCCGGUCUGAGAGGAUGAACGGCCACAUUGGGACUGAGACACGGCCCAGACUCCUACGGGAGGCAGCAGUGGGGGAAUCUUCCGCAAUGGACGAAAGUCUGACGGAGCAACGCCGCGUGAGUGAAGAAGGUCUUCGGAUUGUAAAGCUCUGUUAUACGGGACGAAAAAGACGGAUGCCAACAGUAUCCGUCCGUGACGGUACCGUAAGAGAAAGCCACGGCUAACUACGUGCCAGCAGCCGCGGUAAU
rnacentral:rRNA from 1 species